rnacentral:rRNA from 1 species
CCUACGGGCGGCUGCAGUGGGGAAUAUUGGACAAUGGGGGGAACCCUGAUCCAGCCAUGCCGCGUGUGUGAAGAAGGCCCUCGGGUUGUAAAGCACUUUCAGUGAGGAAGAACGCCUGGUGGUUCAUACCCAUCAGGAAAGACAUCACUCACAGAGGAAGCACCGGCUAACUCCGUGCCAGCAGCCGAGGUAAUACGGAGGGUGCGAGCGUUAAUCGGAAUUACUGGGCGUAAAGCGCGCGUAGGUGGCUUGAUAAGCCGGUUGUGAAAGCCCCGGGCUCAACCUGGGAACGGCAUCCGGAACUGUCAAGCUAGAGUGCAGGAGAGGAAGGUAGAAUUCCCGGUGUAGCGGUGAAAUGCGUAGAGAUCGGGAGGAAUACCAGUGGCGAAGGCGGCCUUCUGGACUGACACUGACACUGAGGUGCGAAAGCGUGGGUAGCAAACAGGAUUAGAUACCCUAGUAGUC